CCUACGGGAGGCAGCAGUGGGGAAUAUUGGACAAUGGGGGGAACCCUGAUCCAGCGACGCCGCGUGAGUGAAGAAGUAUUUCGGUAUGUAAAGCUCUAUCAGCAGGGAAGAAAAUGACGGUACCUGACUACGAAGCCCCGGCUAACUACGUGCCAGCAGCCGCGGUAAUACGUAGGGGGCCAGCGGUAUCCGGAUUUACUGGGGGUAAAGGGGGCGUAGACGGUGCAGCAAGUCUGAUGUGAAAGGUCGGGGCCCAACCCCGGGACUGAAUUGGAAACUAUUAGACUAGAGGGCAGGAGGGGUAAGUGGAAUGCCUAGUGUAGCGGUGGAAUGCGUAGAUAUUAGGAGGAACAUCAGGGGCGAAGGCGACUUACUGGACUGUAACUGACACUGAGGCACGAAAGCGUGGGGAGCAAACAGGAUUAGAUACCCUGGUAGUC
rnacentral:rRNA from 1 species